UGGGGGAAUAUUGCACAAUGGGGGAAACCCUGAUGCAGCGACGCCGCGUGAGCGAUGAAGUAUUUCGGUAUGUAAAGCUCUAUCAGCAGGGAAGAAAAUGACGGUACCUGACUAAGAAGCCCCGGCUAACUACGUGCC
rnacentral:rRNA from 1 species